rnacentral:lncRNA from 1 species
UAUUUCUAUGUCUGUCUCCGUUUCAGGACAUUAACAUUGUGUCAAAACAGGUAUAUGUGGGCAAACAAGUUACAGGACCAAAACAUAAAAAAUGACUCCCCAAAAGAUGCAGCCGCUCCAGCAGCCUGGGCCCAGCUGGGUCAAAGGCUUCUUGGCUAAGCUUAGGGGAUACAUCUGCCCCUGGAAGUAUAGCCAGAACCACCAAACUACCGAGCCACCCAUCCACAGACUCCCAGCUUCCUCAGUGCUUAGAAUGCAGCCAUAUUGCCAUUGGUUAGUUGUGGAUUUUCCACAUUCACUCGGCAAUUCAUUAUUUCUAUCCAAAUGUUGUCUGCAUUCUAUUGGUUGGAUAUUGUUAUCAAUACUUUAUAUGUAGACCUACAUUUAGGACAUAUCUAUCACUGUACCUAAUAUAUUACCUAUACUAUAACUGCAUGUCCUCCUCCUGGGAUGUAAGAAGAAAUGUAUACUUAUCAUUCACUAUUGAA